rnacentral:rRNA from 1 species
ACGCUGGCGGCAGGCCUAACACAUGCAAGUCGAACGGUAACAGGAAGAAGCUUGCUUCUUUGCUGACGAGUGGCGGACGGGUGAGUAAUGUCUGGGAAACUGCCUGAUGGAGGGGGAUAACUACUGGAAACGGUAGCUAAUACCGCAUAACGUCGCAAGACCAAAGAGGGGGACCUUCGGGCCUCUUGCCAUCGGAUGUGCCCAGAUGGGAUUAGCUAGUAGGUGGGGUAACGGCUCACCUAGGCGACGAUCCCUAGCUGGUCUGAGAGGAUGACCAGCCACACUGGAACUGAGACACGGUCCAGACUCCUACGGGAGGCAGCAGUGGGGAAUAUUGCACAAUGGGCGCAAGCCUGAUGCAGCCAUGCCGCGUGUAUGAAGAAGGCCUUCGGGUUGUAAAGUACUUUCAGCGGGGAGGAAGGGAGUAAAGUUAAUACCUUUGCUCAUUGACGUUACCCGCAGAAGAAGCACCGGCUAACUCCGUGCCAGCAGCCGCGGUAAUACGGAGGGUGCAAGCGUUAAUCGGAAUUACUGGGCGUAAAGCGCACGCAGGCGGUUUGUUAAGUCAGAUGUGAAAUCCCCGGGCUCAACCUGGGAACUGCAUCUGAUACUGGCAAGCUUGAGUCUCGUAGAGGGGGGUAGAAUUCCAGGUGUAGCGGUGAAAUGCGUAGAGAUCUGGAGGAAUACCGGUGGCGAAGG